rnacentral:rRNA from 1 species
UAGGGGACCGCACAAGCGGUGGAUGAUGUGGUUUAUUCGAUGCAACGCGAAAAACCUUACCCACCUUUGACAUGUACGGAAUCCUUUAAGAUAGAGGAGUGCUCGAAAGAGAGCCGUAACACAGGUGCUGCAUGGCUGUCGUCAGCUCGUGUCGUGAGAUGUUGGGUUAAGUCCCGCAACGAGCGCAACCCUUGCCAUUAGUUGCUACGAAAGGGCACUCUAAUGGGACUGCCGGUGACAAACCGGAGGAAGGUGGGGAUGACGUCAAGUCCUCAUGGCCCUUAUAGGUGGGGCUACACACGUCAUACAAUGGCUGGUACAGAGGGUUGCCAACCCGCGAGGGGGAGCUAAUCCCAUAAAGCCAGUCGUAGUCCGGAUCGCAGUCUGCAACUCGACUGCGUGAAGUCGGAAUCGCUAGUAAUCGCGGAUCAGAAUGUCGCGGUGAAUACGUUCCCGGGUCUUGUACACACCGCCCGUCACACCAUGGGAGCGGGUUCUGCCAGAAGUAGGUAGCCUAACCGUAAGGAGGGCGCUUACCACGGCAGGGUUCGUGACUGGGG